CGCCUCCGGAAGGGCGGAGCAGCCGAGCGGGUCGGCCAGAAUUUUUACGCAUGGCGGAAAGCGAAGAGGCGGAUUUGGAUGCCUUCCUCGACAAAUUUCAGGGCCCGCAGCGCUACGAGGGGGCCUUCAAUCCGACGACAUGGGAGCAGGAAUUUGAUCAGAUUCCAAUGUUCAUGAAGAAUGCUCCUUCUGAAAUAAAUCCUAAGCAGAACCCUGAUCUGGCAUGCCUUCAGUCUAUCAUUUUUGAUGAAGAGCACAGUCCUGAAGAGCAAUCUAAGACUUACAAGAAUGAAGGUAAUGAUUAUUUCAAAGAAAAGGAUUAUAAGAAGGCCGUGAUAUCUUAUACAGAAGGACUAAAAAAGAAAUGUAAUGACCCGGAGUUGAAUACAGUACUUCUUACGAACAGAGCGGCAGCCCACUUUUACCUGGGCAACUAUCGCUCUGCUCUGAAUGAUGCUAUUGCAGCAAGAAAACUGAAACCCAGCCACCUCAAAGCAGUAGUAAGGGGAGCACUGUGCCAUAUGGAACUCAAGCAUUUCUCUGAAGCUAUGGCAUGGUGUGAGGAGGGGCUGAAAUUAGAUCCAAAGGAAAAAAAACUUCUGGAAAUAAGAACAAAAGCAGACAGACUUAAGCGUGCAGAAGAGCGAGAUUUGAGAAAAGCAAAAUUUCAGGAGAAGAGGGAACAGUCUCAGAAAGAGGCCUUAUUUAAAGCUAUUAAGGAUCAAAACAUCAAAUUGUCUCCAGUGGCCUCUAAAGAUGAGACGGCAGUGUCAACAGACCUUGCGGAGAUGUCUUUAGAUGGACUUAACUCUGAAAGUGGCAUUGGGGCCAAAGUCUGUCUAGAAGACAAUGGCAGCCUUAUCUGGCCAGUGCUGUUCCUGUACCCUGAGCAUGGACAAACUGACUUCAUCUCUGCUUUUCAUGAAGAAUCCAGAUUUGCUGACCAUUUAGUUGUCAUGUUUGAAGAAUCACCUGCCUGGGAUAUAGAAAGAAAAUAUAUUCCUAAAGAACUAGAGCUUUAUUAUGAGGAUGAAGAAAGAGGAGAUAUAUACCAGAUAAGCAUGGAAACCACAUUGUUAGAAGCGCUGCAGCACAAAAGGUAGACCUUGCCACGCAAGAAAUUGCGAGCAACCUGUCCCUUUCCCAGUUGCAUGGUGAUGUCCAACACAACUCUAUAGUACUUUAUAAAAGCUGGGACUCCUGCCUUUUUAGUCCUGGUGAAAGAUGCUCCUUUCUCUAAAAACUAUUUAUUUGGGAAGAAAGUUCAUCAAUUAAAAUGAAUUAGGAUGACCUCAGCAAGAAAGCAAAGAUGAGCAGUAACUCUAUUUCGUUUUACAGUUUAUGCAGUGUCCUAAAUUGGAAUGUUUUCUGAGUACAUGUUUUUCUGUAACAAUUAGGAUUAACUUACUAGAACUCUGCAGAGAAGGUAUGCAUACAUCAAGUGUCCCAGGCCAAAGGACUUGAAGAGCUCUGUAAUACUAGUAAUUAUACUUUUAACUUUCCUUUUGUAUUUUAAUAACGAAGCCACCUUAUUCCUCCCUCUGUUUUCAAUUAAUAAAAACAGUGAAUAAAAAUAAA